rfam:Candidatus Harrisonbacteria bacterium RIFCSPLOWO2_02_FTLL_45_10c rifcsplowo2_02_scaffold_39561, whole genome shotgun sequence.
GCGUGUGUAGUUCAGUGGUAGAACGCUGUCCUGAUAAGACAGAGGUCUAGACCCCUAUCUCAAUAUUAAUCUCCGAUGCGACACUAGCU